rnacentral:rRNA from 1 species
UACAGAGGGUGCAAGCGUUAAUCGGAAUUACUGGGCGUAAAGCGUGCGUAGACGGUUAUGUAAGUCAGAUGUGAAAGCCCCGGGCUCAACCUGGGAAUUGCAUUUGAGACUGCAUAGCUAGGGUGCGGAAGAGGGAAGCGGAAUUUCCGAUGUAGCGGUGAAAUGCGUAGAUAUCGGAAGGAACACCAGUGGCGAAAGCGGCUUCCUGGUCCAGCACCGACGUUCAGGCACGAAAGCGUGGGGAGCAAACAGG